rnacentral:rRNA from 1 species
GACGAACGCUGGCGGCGUGCUUAACACAUGCAAGUCGAACGGAAAGGCCUGCUUUCCCUUGUGGAUUGCGGGUACUCGAGUGGCGAACGGGUGAGUAACACGUGAGUGAUCUGCCCCCAACUUGGGUAUAAGCCUGGGAAACUGGGUCUAAUUCCCGAUAGGACUGCAGGGUGGUGCCUGUGGUGGAAAACGAUUUUCUAGUGGUUGGGGAUGAGCUCGCGGCCUAUCAGCUUGUUGGAGGGGUAAUGGCCUACCAAGGCGGCGACGGGUAGCCGGCCUGAGAGGGUGGACGGCCACAUUGGGACUGAGAGACGGCCCAGACUCCUACGGGAGGCAGCAGUGGGGAAUAUUGCACAAUGGGCGGAAGCCUGAUGCAGCGACGCCGCGGGGGGGAUGACGGCCUUCGGGUUGUAAACUCCUUUCGACCGCGAGGAAGCCACCUGGUUGGAAGGGUGGUGACGGUAGUGGGAGAAGAAGCACCGGCUAACUACGUG